UAUUCCAUUUCAGACUAUAUAUUUAGGUUGGCGCAAAAGUAAUUGCGGUUUUGGCCUUUAUUUUCAAUGGCAAAAACCUCAGUUGCUUUUGUGCCAACCUAAUACUUCACA
rnacentral:pre_miRNA from 2 species